rnacentral:rRNA from 1 species
GCGUAGUGUUCCUUCUCAGCGAAAUAUCACCACGAGGCGGAUAGCGAACAAGUACCGUGAGGGAAAGUUGAAAAGCACUCUGAAUAGAGAGUCAAAAAGUACGUGAAACUGCCUAGGGCUCAAGCCCGUUGAACUCGAUUAUCCGGGCGGGGAUAUUCACUUGCGGUUGGCCGGCGACGGCAGACCGCAGGGCACUUAUCCACCGCAUUACCCACAAGGACACUGCGAUCCAUUACGAAACACGUUCUAGCCUUCACUGGCAACGAAGCCCGACAGUCGGCCCCUGGCACCGUUGUUUGUCCCACCGUAGCGGCGCUCAGUUCGGAAGGCCUGUUCCGCGAGCUGGGGCUUACGGUGCGUGGUGUGCCGUCGGGCGCGUGAUGGAUUCUCCCGCACGCCGUCUCGGAUGCUUGCCAUCCACCUCCAUGUAGGUGACGCGCGCUUGUCGAUCGGCAGUGAGCAAAUCGAGGUACCUCCGGGACCCGUCUUGAAACACGGACA